CGGGACACGUGGUAUCCUGUCUGAAUAUGGGGGGACCAUCCUCCAAGGCUAAAUACUCCUGACUGACCGAUAGUGAACCAGUACCGUGAGGGAAAGGCGAAAAGAACCCCGGCGAGGGGAGUGAAAAAGAACCUGAAACCGUGUACGUACAAGCAGUGGGAGCACGCUUAGGCGUGUGACUGCGUACCUUUUGUAUAAUGGGUCAGCGACUUAUAUUCUGUAGCAAGGUUAACCGAAUAGGGGAGCCGAAGGGAAACCGAGUCUUAACUGGGCGUUAAGUUGCAGGGUAUAGACCCGAAACCCGGUGAUCUAGCCAUGGGCAGGUUGAAGGUUGGGUAACACUAACUGGAGGACCGAACCGACUAAUGUUGAAAAAUUAGCGGAUGACUUGUGGCUGGGGGUGAAAGGCCAAUCAAACCGGGAGAUAGCUGGUUCUCCCCGAAAGCUAUUUAGGUAGCGCCUCGUGAAUUCAUCUCCGGGGGUAGAGCACUGUUUCGGCAAGGGGGUCAUCCCGACUUACCAACCCGAUGCAAACUGCGAAUACCGGAGAAUGUUAUCACGGGAGACACACGGCGGGUGCUAACGUCCGUCGUGAAGAGGGAAACAACCCAGACCGCCAGCUAAGGUCCCAAAGUCAUGGUUAAGUGGGAAACGAUGUGGGAAGGCCCAGACAGCCAGGAUGUUGGCUUAGAAGCAGCCAUCAUUUAAAGAAAGCGUAAUAGCUCACUGGUCGAGUCGGCCUGCGCGGAAGAUGUAACGGGGCUAAACCAUGCACCGAAGCUGCGGCAGCGACGCUGAUGCGUUGUUGGGUAGGGGAGCGUUCUGUAAGCCUGUGAAGGUGUGCUGUGAGGCAUGCUGGAGGUAUCAGAAGUGCGAAUGCUGACAUAAGUAACGAUAAAGCGGGUGAAAAGCCCGCUCGCCGGAAGACCAAGGGUUCCUGUCCAACGUUAAUCGGGGCAGGGUGAGUCGACCCCUAAGGCGAGGCCGAAAGGCGUAGUCGAUGGGAAACAGGUUAAUAUUCCUGUACUUGGUGUUACUGCGAAGGGGGGACGGAGAAGGCUAUGUUGGCCGGGCGACGGUUGUCCCGGUUUAAGCGUGUAGGCUGGUUUUCCAGGCAAAUCCGGAAAAUCAAGGCUGAGGCGUGAUGACGAGGCACUACGGUGCUGAAGCAACAAAUGCCCUGCUUCCAGGAAAAGCCUCUAAGCAUCAGGUAACAUCAAAUCGUACCCCAAACCGACACAGGUGGUCAGGUAGAGAAUACCAAGGCGCUUGAGAGAACUCGGGUGAAGGAACUAGGCAAAAUGGUGCCGUAACUUCGGGAGAAGGCACGCUGAUAUGUAGGUGAAG
rnacentral:rRNA from 1 species